GGCUUAACACAUGCAAGUCGAACGGGCGUAGCAAUACGUCAGUGGCAGACGGGUGAGUAACGCGUGGGAACGUACCUUUUGGUUCGGAACAACACAGGGAAACUUGUGCUAAUACCGGAUAAGCCCUUACGGGGAAAGAUUUAUCGCCGAAAGAUCGGCCCGCGUCUGAUUAGCUAGUUGGUGAGGUAACGGCUCACCAAGGCGACGAUCAGUAGCUGGUCUGAGAGGAUGAUCAGCCACAUUGGGACUGAGACACGGCCCAAACUCCUACGGGAGGCAGCAGUGGGGAAUAUUGGACAAUGGGCGCAAGCCUGAUCCAGCCAUGCCGCGUGAGUGAUGAAGGCCCUAGGGUUGUAAAGCUCUUUUGUGCGGGAAGAUAAUGACGGUACCGCAAGAAUAAGCCCCGGCUAACUUCGUGCCAGCAGCCGCGGUAAUACGAAGGGGGCUAGCGUUGCUCGGAAUCACUGGGCGUAAAGGGUGCGUAGGCGGGUCUUUAAGUCAGAGGUGAAAUCCUGGAGCUCAACUCCAGAACUGCCUUUGAUACUGAGGAUCUUGAGUUCGGGAGAGGUGAGUGGAACUGCGAGUGUAGAGGUGAAUUCGUAGACAUUCGCAAGAACACCAGUGGCGAAGGCGGCUCA
rnacentral:rRNA from 1 species